rnacentral:rRNA from 1 species
CCUACGGGAGGCUGCAGUGAGGAAUAUUGGUCAAUGGGCGUAAGCCUGAACCAGCCAAGUCGCGUGAGGGAUGAAGGUUCUAUGGAUCGUAAACCUCUUUUAUAGGGGAAUAAAGGUAUCCACGUGUGGAUAUUUGCAUGUACCCUAUGAAUAAGCAUCGGCUAACUCCGUGCCAGCAGCCGCGGUAAUACGGAGGAUGCGAGCGUUAUCCGGAUUUACUGGGCGUAAAGCGCUCGUAGGCGGUAUGUCAAGUCAAGGGUGAAAUCCCCGCGCUCAACGUGGGAACUGCCUUUGAAACUGGGAAACUGGAGUGUGUGAGAGGAGAGUGGAAUUCCAGGUGUAGGAGUGAAAUCCGUAGAUAUCUGGAGGAACAUCAGUGGCGAAGGCGACUAUCUGGCACAUAACUGACGCUGAGGAGCGAAAGCGUGGGUAGCAAACAGGAUUAGAUACCCGAGUAGUC